AAACCAUGAUGAGGGCAGUCUCUCUCAUACUCCUUGAAUCGCUCCCAGGCUUCAUAGAAUGAUUCUAUAUAUUGGGCAUUGUUGGAAACGUCGUAUCUUAUUUCUCAGGU
rnacentral:snoRNA from 1 species